UACGUAGGGUGCGAGCGUUAAUCGGAAUUACUGGGCGUAAAGCGUGCGUAGGCGGUUCGUUAUGUCUGCUGUGAAAGCCCCGGGCUUAACCUGGGAAUGGCAGUGGAAACUGGCGGGCUUGAGUGUGGCAGAGGGGGGUGGAAUUCCGCGUGUAGCAGUGAAAUGCGUAGAGAUCGGGAGGAACACCCGUGGCGAAGGCGGCCAUCUGGACCAGCACUGACGCUGAGGCACGAAAGCGUGGGGAGCAAACAGG
rnacentral:rRNA from 1 species